rnacentral:lncRNA from 1 species
GUUCCCUCAAAGGACUUUCAAUGAAGCCCCUAAAGAGUAUACAUUUGUUUAUCAUUUUAAAAGAGAAUCAACUCCUUAUUCAGUCAGUUCAUAGUCUUUAUAAAUAAUGUUGGGCAUUCAAAUAGGACAUCUUUCAAAAAAUUACAUUAUCUAAUUAGACAACUUUUCAAAGUAACCUAUAGUGUCUUUGAAAAUUCAAGCAUUUCCUCAAGAGUAGUGUAUAGAUUUCAAAAAUUUAAAAUAGUUAUAUCUUGAAACUAAAGAUAUAUGUCUAAUUUUUGUAAAAUAAACAGUAAAUUUAGCAAAAGUACUCCUAGCAUUCUUCUCAAAUGUAAUACUAUUUUUGAAAAUAUGUAAAUAUUUUGAGAUAAUGUUAUACAGGUACAGCACCUGUACAACAUUAAAUAUUAUUUAAUCAUGUAAUUUCACUCUAGCCUGGGCAAAUAGUGAGACCUUGUCUCAACAAAUAAUAAAUAAAUAAAAUAAAUAAAAAUAAAUAUUGUACUAUUAAGAUUUUAGUUUGCUUUAGAAGUCCACUUAAAAAACAACUAAACAGUGUACAGGCAUACCUCGUUUUAUCGCGCUUCACUUUUCUCGGCAGAUACUGCAUUAAACAUAACUUUUAUAUACGCUGGGAAAUAAAAAAUUUCAUGCGACUUGCUCUAUUGUGAUACUCUAUUGCAGUGGUCUGGAACCAAACCUACAACACUUUUAAAAUAAUGAAAUAAAUAACAGCCAACCUGUAAUUCUAUAUCCAGUGAAAAUAUUAUUUAAAGGUAAAAGUUAAGACAUACUU